UGACGAGCGGCGGACGGGUGAGUAAUAUAUGGGGAUCUGCCCGAUAGAGGGGAUAACUACUGGAAACGGUAGCUAAUACCGCAUAAUCUCUAAGGAGCAAAGCAGGGGAACUUCGGUCCUUGCGCUAUCGGAUGAACCCCAUAUGGGAUUAGCUAGUUGGUGAGGUAAUGGCUCACCAAGGCGACGAUCCCUAGCUGGUCUGAGAGGAUGAUCAGCCACACUGGGACUGAGACACGGCCCAG
rnacentral:rRNA from 1 species